AUGAACGCUGGCGGCGUGCCUAAUACAUGCAAGUCGAGCGAACGGACGAGAAGCUUGCUUCUCUGAUGUUAGCGGCGGACGGGUGAGUAACACGUGGAUAACCUACCUAUAAGACUGGGAUAACUUCGGGAAACCGGAGCUAAUACCGGAUAAUAUUUUGAACCGCAUGGUUCAAAAGUGAAAGACGGUCUUGCUGUCACUUAUAGAUGGAUCCGCGCUGCAUUAGCUAGUUGGUAAGGUAACGGCUUACCAAGGCAACGAUGCAUAGCCGACCUGAGAGGGUGAUCGGCCACACUGGAACUGAGACACGGUCCAGACUCCUACGGGAGGCAGCAGUAGGGAAUCUUCCGCAAUGGGAGAAAGCCUGACGGAGCAACGCCGCGUGAGUGAUGAAGGUCUUCGGAUCGUAAAACUCUGUUAUUAGGGAAGAACAUAUGUGUAAGUAACUGUGCACAUCUUGACGGUACCUAAUCAGAAAGCCACGGCUAACUACGUG
rnacentral:rRNA from 1 species